GAUGAACGCUAGCUACAGGCUUAACACAUGCAAGUCGCAGGGUAACAUGAGGAAAGCUUGCUUUCCUUGAUGACGACUGGCGCACGGGUGAGUAACGCGUAUCCAACCUUCCCAUAACUACGGGAUAACCCGUUGAAAGACGGCCUAAUACCGUAUGACAUCGUUUGCUGACAUCAAAUAACGAUUAAAGGUUUAGCGGUUAUGGAUGGGGAUGCGUCUGAUUAGCUUGUUGGCGGGGUAACGGCCCACCAAGGCGACGAUCAGUAGGGGUUCUGAGAGGAAGGUCCCCCACAUUGGAACUGAGACACGGUCCAAACUCCUACGGGAGGCAGCAGUGAGGAAUAUUGGUCAAUGGGCGAGAGCCUGAACCAGCCAAGUAGCGUGCAGGAUGACGGCCCUAUGGGUUGUAAACUGCUUUUAUGUGGGGAUAAAGUGCGUGACGUGUCAUGCAUUGCAGGUACCACAUGAAUAAGGACCGGCUAAUUCCGU
rnacentral:rRNA from 1 species